rnacentral:rRNA from 1 species
UACGUAGGUGGCAAGCGUUGUCCGGAUUUACUGGGCGUAAAGAGCGCGCAGGCGGUCGUUCAAGUCGCGUGUGAAAGCCCCCGGCUCAACUGGGGAGGGUCACGCGAUACUGAUCGACUCGAAGGCAGGAGAGGGAAGUGGAAUUCCCGGUGUAGUGGUGAAAUGCGCAGAUAUCGGGAGGAACACCGGUGGCGAAGGCGGUUCUCUGGGCCUUACCUGACGCUGAGGAGCGAAAGCGUGGGGAGCGAACAGG